rnacentral:rRNA from 1 species
UACGAAGGGGGCUAGCGUUGCUCGGAAUCACUGGGCGUAAAGGGUGCGUAGGCGGGUCUUAAGUCGGGGGUGAAAUCCUGGAGCUCAACUCCAGAACUGCCUUUGAUACUGAGGAUCUCGAGUCCGGGAGAGGUGAGUGGAACUCCGAGUGUAGAGGUGAAAUUCGUAGAUAUUCGGAAGAACACCAGUGGCGAAGGCGGCUCACUGGCCCGGUACUGACGCUGAGGUGCGAAAGCGUGGGGAGCAAACAGG